GAUAGAUGCCAUCGCGUCGUGUCAAGUCCUCGAGCUCGUAGCAGUCGGCCUUGGCGGGUUGCAUUGGAUCUGGAGUGGAUUGAUUGUCAGACGCCGAUUUGAACUGAAUGACUGAAAUUGCUGCUUUGUGCUGAAGCACUUCUGGGCGACGAGAGAGGCCGUUAUAUGCUGUACAUUUUGAAAUUGUGUCUACUGGAUGGAGGAUAGGAGAGGUGGUCGAUGCAACCACAACACAUAUGUAUAUAGUUUAAGGAACUCUAAAUAAACCGAAUAUAAAUUAA